rnacentral:rRNA from 1 species
GACCGGAUGCGGAUCUCGAAAGCCUGUCCCAGUUCGGACUGGAGUCUGCAACCCGACUCCACGGAGUUGGAUUCGCUAGUAAUCGCGCAUCAGCCAUGGCGCGGUGAAUACGUUCCCGGGCCUUGUACACACCGCCCGUCAAGCCAUGGGAGCCGGGGGCGCCUGAAGUCCGGGACCGCGAGGACCGGCCUAGGGCGAAACUGGUAACUGGGGCUAAGUCGUAACAAGGUAUC